AACAUAGGAAGGAAGAAGAGUGUAGAUAUGCGCACAAUUUUGAAAUGCAAGUAAAGAAAAAGACCCAGUGUGUGAAGCAUGAUCGACUUCUCAUUGUUUGCUACUAGACCUGUUGUGUAGCCGGCUUAUUCCAUUUUUCUUGUUGUUGUUGGGUUUUUUUCUCCUGAGGGCCGGAUUUAGGGGAUUGCAUGCUGGGCUCGGCACCUCCACAAGAAGGAGACCUCCAAAAGAAAUAAAAAUAAAUCCAAAUUUCGAUGAGCCAGAAAAUUAGCUAAACGAGAAGCCCCCGUGUAACCAACAAGAAAACUAACGAACAUAGACGCAGCAAAGUCACUGACCUUCGGACUUGAACUUGAUGGACGACGAGACCACGAGAUCCACGGUCAUGUAGAGGGCAACGUGCAAGAAAGAGCUCCGGACAACUGAAGAUGAUUAGAGCCAUUUAAGAGGAUUGGGUUGGAAGUAAUCUAUAAGAAUUCUGGCUUCGUUACGAGUUCUAACCAAAGAACCAUUACUCUAUUAGAGAUUCUCGUGUAUAGCGUAAAGAUAUAGACAUCUAACUUUUUGGUGGAUUUCUAUGAAUAGAAAAAUUUUAAAUGGGUGCCUCUGCUAUAUCUUUAUUCAAGUCACUCCUUCAUGGAUGGUGCUUGGACGCUGAUCUCAAAAAUGGUUUUGACGAUUUACCUAGAAAUUUAAUAGUUAAUGUAUAUCGUUGAGAAAAGAAUUAGUAGCUCGUUGACCAUAUAGGGAAAACUCUUGUUUGUCUGUUAUAAUUUUUCAAAGUAAAAGUAAAUAAAUGUAAAUUUGGCUAGAGACUAAAUCUAGGUCUAGAUCGUACAUCGGUUUUGAAAGGUCUAUCGCGUUCUCGUAAGGACAAUACGUUCGGGAAUUUCCGAAUGUAAAGCUUUAUUGAUUCAAGAAUUUAAUAAAUGAAAUUAUGUCUUCCAAGUCUAGAUAUAAAUGCUUAUUAUUGGAAUAUUAAAUGGUGUAUAUGUCUAUGAGUGUACUAGAUCUUCAUUCAAUUAACCAGAACUCUUUCUCGGGGGAAAGGGGACGGAGUAAAAAAAUGUUUUUAAAUCUAAUAUACUUUAAUAUUUAAGAGAAAAACAAUCUCUCAAGAAGUUACAUAAAGGAGGUAGUGUCUUUUUUAUAAUGUUUUUCUU